AUAAAACACUAAUGAGGGACUGUAGCUGGCUGGCCAGUGGCUUCCACGCUGCCAAGGCUGCCCUGAUGCUUACGGUGCUGCUGUGCUGGAAGGAGGAAGAGCAGGGAGGUGACCUGGUCUCUCCAAAUUGCAUGGGAGGCUUAGAUGCACAGCAGAUUGCUGUCUUCCGCACAUCUGGGCUCAAGAACCUCACACUAAUGAAUUACACAGCUCAUUUAAUUCCUAACAGAGUGGUACUGGAGAUGGGAUACUCUCUACUAAUGAGCAAUGACCCUUCCUCUAAGAUGUCAUCAAGCCAGCUAGGUUUCACCUGGUGGUGGGAAGGACGUUUCUUAAACCACAACAUUCUGGUAAUGUUUUUUCCACAGACUUCUCUGAUGCACAGGUAUAAAUUUAAUAUCUGAGUAGUAGUACAGCACUAUGAUGAUGAAUCUGCCUGGAAAUCUUGUAAGUGGUAUAAGAACAAGCCUACUGCACUUUUUAUCUUUUGCCAUACAUAGUAUUUAAUGGGUUUCAUAGUUCCUUCUGUGGUGUUAAUUAGUAAAUCACUCCAACUCUUGCUGAAGCUAAAGCUCUUGCUGUUGGCUGGGAGGUUGGAGGGGGAACAGCAGCUUGAGGCCAAGAUUUUAACACCACUCUCGGUGUAAACCUUCCUUCUGAAAGUUUCCAAGAGUGCUCGUAUCUCCUCAGACACCAAAAACAAUUGGGUAGGACAGAAAACUUCUGUCUGGUAGGACAGAAAUCCUUAGCAGUACCAACAGGAACAAUGGAAUGUUUCAGCUGCCCAGGUUCAACUUCUUGAUCUUGCAGCUGGGUGCCAGGGUUCACCUCUGAGAUAAUCAUGGUUAACAGCUCUGCAUAAUGCUAGGGUUCAUCUCACUAUGCCAGCUUUACAGUGGUAAGAAGUGAUGGGAUAACAAAGAAGUGCAGAGAGAAUAUUAACCUAGCAAGAUGGUGAAAAAAAUGUGUUUGAAAUGUCUUUGAGAGUGUUUAUUGAUUUGCAUCAUCUUAGUGCAUUUGUCAUUUGUUGCUGAAAGUCUAUUGCUGAUACUGUGUCUGGAACAACUGGAGCUCUUCAGAGGUGAAGGCGAAAGCGGUAUUCUAGGAAAACAUGGCAGGAGUUAUAAGCUUUCUUUCAGUUUAUGGUAUCAGUAGAUUUCAACAAAGAAAUGGUUGUUGAGUAUAUUUUUAUAGUGCCUGAAGUCUCUAUGUGUUAAUGUCGUUGUUCAUUGAAAGGUACACUCUGGCCUCUUAGAAGAUGUCCUUGUUUCAUUGUAAUGUUCCUUAUAUUUUUGAGAUAGAUAUGUGCAUUAUAGGAGAUCAGUAUAAAAUCUAUGUGUGUGUGGGGAAAUGGAUGCACAAAGAAAUCACCCAAAUCCAUGGAUCCUAGACAUACAGAUCCACUUUGUUCAUGAGGCAUUAAAAUAGCUUUCUGGAGGUGAUGCAAGUGAAACCACUCCCCAACAGAAUGAGCUCACAGAGGCAGUCAGUGAAAAACAGGAACACACGGCUGGGACAAGGAAAGCUUUCCCUAACUCCUCAGACCUGAUCUUCCAGAAGGACCUACAAUUUAACUUCAAAGAUAAGCCUGGGAACUGAAAGUCAUAACUUCUCAGAGUAUUAAAAACCAAGGACUGAGUAUUUACUCAAUAAACAUUUUAUAAGCAUUAACUGUUUCUAUACUUACCCUCACAUCUCACCAACUGUUAAGCCAUACUUGUUCCACAGAAGCAAACCACCUGUAUCUGACCUGUAGACCCAUUAUUGUCUCUCCCCUCUUUGUUAAUGAUCUCCUUCCUCAGAAUGUAAUAUUAUGUUAUAUUCAGAGCAAUCACUUCCAGCUUGAUGUUUGUUGUGUCUAGAUAAAAUGUACAACAACAAUAGUAUUUCACUCCCAAAUGACUGUUUACUCCACGUAUAAUGGAUGGUAUCUAUCUCUGAAAAUCUUGUCAUCUUAGACAUCUAAGAUGGUAUCUCAGACAGCCACAGUUACAGAAGAACAUCUGACUCAGUAAAGCAUCAGGAAAAUACAGGAACACGCAACUUGCUUCACUAAAAUACUGAACUGAAUUCAUGCAUAUUGACAUUUCAGAGUUAAUGCCUAAACUGCAUAAGGAACUGU